rnacentral:rRNA from 1 species
AUUGAACGCUGGCGGCAGGCCUAACACAUGCAAGUCGAACGAGUGGCGGACGGGUGAGUAAUGUCUGGGAAACUGCCCGAUGGAGGGGGCUCACUACUGGAAACGGUAGCUAAUACCGCAUACCAUCGGAUGUGCCCAGAUGGGAUUAGCUAGUAGGUGGGGUAACGGCUCACCUAGGCGACGCUCCCUAGCUGGUCUGAGAGGAUGACCGGCCACACGGGAACUGGUACACGGUCCAGACUCCUACGGGGGGCAGCAGUGGGGAAUAUUGCACAAGGGGCGCAAGCCUGAUGCAGCCAUGCCGCGUGUAUGAAGAAGGCCUUCGGGUUGUAAAGUACUUUCAGCGAGGAGGCGUUACUCGCAGAAGAAGCACCGGCUAACUCCGUGCCAGCAGCCGCGGUAAUUC